rnacentral:rRNA from 1 species
UACGUAGGGUGCGAGCGUUAAUCGGAAUUACUGGGCGUAAAGUGUGCGCAGGCGGCGCUGCAAGUCGAGUGUGAAAUCCCCGAGCUUAACUUGGGAAUUGCGCUCGAAACUACGGCGCUGGAGUAUGGCAGAGGAAGGUGGAAUUCCACGUGUAGCGGUGAAAUGCGUAGAGAUGUGGAGGAACACCGAUGGCGAAGGCAGCCCCCUGGGUCAAGAUUGACGCUCAUGCACGAAAGCGUGGGGAGCAAACGGG